rnacentral:rRNA from 1 species
CCUACGGGAGGCAGCAGUAGGGAAUCUUCCACAAUGGGCGAAAGCCUGAUGGAGCAACGCCGCGUGGGUGAAGAAGGUCUUCGGAUCGUAAAACCCUGUUGUUAGAGAAGAAAGUGCGUGAGAGUAACUGUUCACGUUUCGACGGUAACUAACCAGAAAGCCACGGCUAACUACGUGCCAGCAGCCGCGGUAAUACGUAGGUGGCAAGCGUUAUCCGGAUUUAUGGGGCGUAAAGGGAACGCAGGCGGUCUUUUAAGUCUGAUUUGAAAGCCUUCGGCUUAACCGGAGUAGUGCAUUGGAAACUGGGAGACUUGAGUGCAGAAGAGGAGAGUGGAACUCCAUGUGUAGCGGUGAAAUGCGUAGAUAUAUGGAAGAACACCAGUGGCGAAAGCGGCUCUCUGGUCUGUAACUGACGCUGAGGUUCGAAAGCGUGGGUAGCAAACAGGAUUAGAUACCCGAGUAGUC